GGGGCCUUAGCUCAGCUGGGAGAGCACCUGCUUUGCAAGCAGGGGGUCGUCGGUUCGAUCCCGACAGGCUCCACCAUAUUGAGUGAAAAGACUUCGGGUCUGUAGCUCAGGUGGUUAGAGCGCACCCCUGAUAAGGGUGAGGUCGGUAGUUCGAGUCUACCCAGACCCACCACUCUGAAUGUAGUGCACACUUAAGAAUUUAUAUGGAUCAGCGUUGAGGCUGAGACAUGUUCUUUUAUAACUUGUGACGUAGCGAGCGUUUGAGAUAUCUAUCUAAACGUGUCGUUGAGGCUAAGGCGGGGACUUCGAGUCCCUAAAUAAUUGAGUCGUAUGUUCGCGUUGGUGGCUUUG
rnacentral:tRNA from 1 species